CGGUUCGGGACAACUCUGGGAAACUGGAGCUAAUACCGGAUACGCCCUUUUGGGGAAAGGUUUACUGCCGAAGGAUCGGCCCGCGUCUGAUUAGCUAGUUGGUGGGGUAACGGCCUACCAAGGCGACGAUCAGUAGCUGGUCUGAGAGGAUGAUCAGCCACACUGGGACUGAGACACGGCCCAGACUCCUACGGGAGGCAGCAGUGGGGAAUAUUGGACAAUGGGCGCAAGCCUGAUCCAGCCAUGCCGCGUGAGUGAUGAAGGCCUUAGGGUUGUAAAGCUCUUUUAUCCGGGACGAUAAUGACGGUACCGGAGGAAUAAGCCCCGGCUAACUUCGUGCCAGCAGCCGCGGUAAUACGAAGGGGGCUAGCGUUGCUCGGAAUCACUGGGCGUAAAGGGCGCGUAGGCGGCGUUUUAAGUCGGGGGUGAAAGCCUGUGGCUCAACCACAGAAUGGCCUUCGAUACUGGGACGCUUGAGUCUGGUAGAGGUUGGUGGAACUGCGAGUGUAGAGGUGAAAUUCGUAGAUAUUCGCAAGAACACCGGUGGCGAAGGCGGCCAACUGGACCAGCACUGACGCUGAGGCGCUAAAGCG
rnacentral:rRNA from 1 species